GAUGAACGCUGGCGGCGUGCCUAAUACAUGCAAGUCGAGCGAACAGACGAGGAGCUUGCUCCUCUGACGUUAGCGGCGGACGGGUGAGUAACACGUGGAUAACCUACCUAUAAGACUGGGAUAACUUCGGGAAACCGGAGCUAAUACCGGAUAAUAUAUUGAACCGCAUGGUUCAAUAGUGACAGACGGUUUUGCUGUCACUUAUAGAUGGAUCCGCGCCGCAUUAGCUAGUUGGUAAGGUAACGGCUUACCAAGGCAACGAUGCGUAGCCGACCUGAGAGGGUGAUCGGCCACACUGGAACUGAGACACGGUCCAGACUCCUACGGGAGGCAGCAGUAGGGAAUCUUCCGCAAUGGGCGAAAGCCUGACGGAGCAACGCCGCGUGAGUGAUGAAGGUCUUCGGAUCGUAAAACUCUGUUAUUAGGGAAGAACAAAUGUGUAAGUAACUAUGCACGUCUUGACGGUACCUAAUCAGAAAGCCACGGCUAACUACGUG
rnacentral:rRNA from 1 species